GAUGAACGCUGGCGGCGCAUUUAAGACAUGCAAGUCGAACGGAAAUAGUUUUGGUGUUUACAUUAGAACUAUUUUAGUGGCGGACGGGUGAGUAACACGUAGGCAAUCUGCCUUAAAGAGGGAAAUAACUAAGAGAAAUUUUAGCUAAUGUCCCAUAAGACCAUAGUGCGGCAUCGUACAGGGGUCAAAGGAGAAAUCCGCUUUAAGAUGAGCCUGCGGCUGAUUAGUUAGUUGGAGUGGUAACGGCACACCAAGACGAUGAUCAGUAGCCGAGCUGAGAGGCUGGCCGGCCACAUUGGGACUGAGACACGGCCCAGACUCCUACGGGAGGCAGCAGUUGGGAAUAUUGGACAAUGGAGGAAACUCUGAUCCAGUGACGCCGCGUGAAGGAAGAAGGUCUUCGGAUUGUAAACUUAUUUUAUCAGGGAAGAAAAAAUGACAGUACCUGAAGAAGAAGCACCGGCAAACUACGUGCCAGCAGCCGCGGUG
rnacentral:rRNA from 1 species